AAACAACUCUACGACAACACUAUUGCAGAAGGCAACCAGAUCUCCCUACACCUGCUGAUGGCACUAUGUGCCUGGAUUCUGCUAUAACAAUCCAGGAUACGGAGGGAAGACAUCUCUCCAGGAAAAAUAAUGAAGUCCAGCCAGUCAUCUUGUACCUCAUGCCCCACCCCAUGAAAUGAUCCCUCAAGAAGGUGUAUCAGACAUCAGGUAGUAUAUGAGGAGUGAUGAACAACUGGCUACUGAGGUACCAUUAGCAGGCUUCAUUUUAAAAGAGACAUCUGAAACAGAAAAGUUUACAAGAACAGUAUGAAAGACUGCAUGGGAAGCGGGGAGGGUCAACAUAUGAAAGUUAGAUAGUAAGCUCUCUGGAGCAAGGACUGCCUUUUCGUUCAGGGUCCUGAUCCAUGACGGUGGCUCCCAGGCACCACAACAAUACAAAUAAUAAUGUUUGGGUACUGAGUAUGUAAGAAAAAAGUUUACCAAAACAGAUUCAUAGAUAUUAAGGUCAGAAGGGACCAUUAUGAUCAUCUAGUCUGACCUCCUGCACAACGCAGGCCACAGAAUCUCACCUACCCGCUCCUGCGAUAAACCUCUCACCUAUGUCUGAGCU